CGAGUUGACGGCUUGGGGCCACAUCGUGGGAUGGGAGAGUGGCUGUGAUGGCAGUGAUGAGUCAUGAGCUUAUGGUCGGGAGUCCAGACCCUGUCCCUUGAUUAGCUGUGUGACCUUUCAUAUGUCACAUAAUCCCUGUGGGGGUUGGGCUUCACAGCCAUUAAAUGGGUUUAAUACCCAGGAACCUGACUACCUUGAGGUGGUCAUAGGUCAGGCCUGCAGCUCCAGACUUGGGGUGUUCUGCUUGGGCAGCCACCAGGGAAGACUACUUGGGGAGAAGGAGGCAGUGCCUUGGGGUUAAGAAGAUGGUGCUCCUCCCUCAGGGUAACGGGAGGGGGAGUUCUUGAAUGUCCUGGGGUAUCCAGGUCAGGAGAGAAGAGGACACGACCUGAGCCUCAGCAGGUAGUGGUGAGUUUCAGGCUGCUGAGGCUGUGGCAGAGGGAGUGUUCCGUUCUCUGCCCCACCCCUUUGAAAUACCAGGAGCAGAGCUGACACAGGCUGAAAGGGAAACUCCUAGUUGUGAUGCAGCCAAGAGCCUGUCAGCUUCUGUAGGGGAUUUUCCUUACCCUGAGUGUAUAGAGAGGUGAUGACCACUAGCAGCUGAGAAACCAUAUAGCCGCCUGCGCAGCUGAACAGGCCAGCAGGCAGCCUGCCAUGGAGUCCCACUCCAAGAACUGGUUCUUCUGCUGGGCCUCUGAGCUCCUGGUAUUCAUCAGCCUCUUCCUCAGUGUCUGCAGCACUGAAGCCUACAUUUCUGAAGCACAUGGCUCUGUCUUGGAUGAUUCUAGAAAACCCACUCAUCUGAAGGGGAUCCGAGGUGGUUCUGUCUUGUUUAAUGUGAUCGAGAAGCUCAGAGUAGUUGUAGGAGCCGAGCUGCAGGAGGUUUCAUGGGGUUUAGGCACUGCAAUAAAUCACACACAGGUGCUGGAAAUCCACAGGGGAGCCGACUCUCCAACCUGGUUGAGCCUCCAGGACAAGUUCAAGCAGAGGGUCCAUGUGCCCAGCAUGUGGUCUCUGAGGAUUGAGAACCUGGCCCCUGAAGACAGUGGGCAGUACGUGGCCAUGAUCCACUCAACUCAGGGAAGAACAUAUGCCCAGGUUUUCUACCUCACUGUCUAUGAGCCUGUGCCUCAUCCUGGAAUCCUGGCCAAGUUACUCUCUAUCACACCAGGCUUGUGUAACAUAACCCUGCAGUGCAGAGCUCCAGGGGCCACCGAGGACCUGAAAGUGACCUGGGAGAGCAAGGGCCUCCUCAGAGAGCUGGAGCAGAGAGAAACACCAAGACCCGCCCUGAACCCCUGGACCCUGGCUGUGAGCCUGCCCCUGUGCCAGUGCAACACCCACCUCACCUGUGUGGUCAGCAACCAGGUGGAUAAGAAAGCUGCAAUCUUAGAUCUUAGGGAAGUGUGUGUCCAAGAAACAGAUCCACACAAACAGGACACGGUUAGACUGCUGCCAGGCCUCCUAGGGGAUGUUGUGGGUGUGAUGUUGGUCCUGGGAACUGGGCUGUAUCUUUUGAAGACAUGUAAGAAGAAAAAGAAGAUGAAGAUAAGAAGAGGUGGAGAACUGCAGGAGAACCAUGGGGUGGAUGAUGAUGCCAACCACUAUGAAGAUCUCAGGCUGCCAGUGUCUCAGAAGGACAAGGACAAGGGCAUUGGUGAACAAUAUCUGGAAAAAGAGGAGCCGCUCACUGCUGUCUACAGUGAGGUUCAUUAUCACUGUCCAGGCACGGCCAUUAAGAUCAUUCGAAUGGAGGAAGCAAAAGGAUCUGGCACUCCCAGGACACCUACACUCUGAGCCUGAAGCCUGCACACCUCUGCCUUUCUUAGUGCUGGUCCAGUUUGAGCUGCCCCUUGUCUGUACGCUGAUCUCACAGCCAUAGUUCUACAGUGUACCCAUGACCUGUUCACAUUCUGAGACACCUCCCCAAGAUGCACUCACAGUUGGGCAAAGAUUCUUUCCCUAUCAUUGACAUGGUUCCUGACCCCUCUCCUCCAAGAACCUUCCCAAGGGGGCCCUGUCUGACUGAGCAGGUGGAAAAUCCCAGCCACCUCUGCCGUGUCACUGGUGUGUGUACUUCUGAGGACACAAGCCCAGGCGUGGGAACGGUGCAGAGAGGAGGGAGGUAGGACUUGGCUUCUGGAUGCUGAGUUGGAGGACAGCAUGGGUGGGUAGGAGCCCACAAAGGAACAGGCUGAGGCUUUCUCUGCAGAUUUUAUAUAGGGCUCCCUUGGGGGCAUCAGGCAGUGUGUGUGUACAUGAAUGUUGGGGCAGGUGUCUAGUACAUAUGAUACAACUGAACUAAAGCCACCUUUCUUUUCUCCUGUGCUAAUCUGAACCUAAUCUUCAGUCUUAGCCUGUGGAUCCAAACUCAACUUCCUAUAGAGUAGAAAGAGAAAUUUGUGUUAUCUCAAAAGCUUCCUAGCCUCUGUGUCUCAGAGAAUGACCCUAACAGGCCACAGUUUGGGGUUGUCUUAGGAAAACAGCUUCAGCUCUUUCCUUUGCCUAGGAUAGAGCACUUAGCUAUAAGAACAGAGCUGUGGUAUUCUUCCACGCCCCCUUGGAGAGGACUACUUGGGCUCUGAUGGGUGAAGCUGUUGAGAAGGUCUGACCCAGCCCUCUCCAGCCUCUUCUUAUUCUGACCCUCCGUGCCCCAGUAGCUAUGCUGGCCCCAAACCCUAGGUCAUCCACUUCUUUGCUAACUUGCAUCCCUCUGCCCGAAAUGAAAUUUCCCUCUCCCUGUUUCUCACCCUCACUCCCACCUGCUGAAAUCCACUGUGCUACUCAAAGCCCUUCCCAAGAUGCUUGUUCCAUGGAACUCUGGAUCUCAAAGGUUUAAACAUGAUCUCUUCCCACAUCUGACUUUUCUGAACACCUUGGACACUAUGUAGGAUCCCUGCCACAGUUUGUCCUGGGAUGAUCAUGAGUCUUCCUGCAGGGCUAACCUGGGCUCUCUCAGGAGGAUGUGGGGCUGUGGGAGAAGAGGGCUGAGGAGACAAGCACUUCUUGGAGCAAAGGGUCUGGGCCAACCUUUUCCCAUCCCAUGGGGUCAGCAGAGGGAGAUGCAGCACAAGAGCUGCUGACAGACUCUCUGGCGUGGCUCUACCUGGAAACGGAUGGACACAAUGACCUCCUUGACUAUACUCAGCCUGAGGUCCUAAUUGGAGACUUCCUUACUCCCUUAUCCACCACUUAUUGUGAACCCGGCCAUGCUUCCACCACAGUAUGUGAGUGUUUCUUCCCUCCUGAGGGGUCUUCAGCUUCUUGCAGCCUCUGCCUCCUGUUUGAGUCCCGGCUUUUAUGCAGAGCUAGGCUAACUCUAGCGCCACAAGGUGCUGUGGCACGUCUGGUGGCCUAGAUCCUUGGGUCUCUUAGUUUCCCCCACGGCUCAGGUGAACUCAUUUCCUCAUUGCCACCCACAGAAAACAAAGAUCUGAACAGAGUCCCUGCUAAGAGAUUGAGCACUAGGACAUAAUGCUAGGUGCCUGCCGGACGGUGGACGAGUGAGGCAGGAGGGAGAGGAGCCAUAGUAGGGCUUCAUUUUUGCCAUCUUCCAGUUUAGGCUGAGCGUAAAGCUGACAGUGCCAGUCUCCUCACUGGCUUCCCAGGUGGCUGGACUUGACGAGGUAUCAGUGCACGUUAGCCCUGGGGCAGCGGAAGAUGUGAUCAUCCAACAGACCUUCCCACCUCAUCGAAGGCACAAACAAACAAACACAAAAGAAGAACAAGGCUUUUCAGGCUGUUUUGAACCAGUUUUUGUCCCAGGCACUUUGCAAAUAUUAUUCUUUUUAAUUAUUUUUAAAUACAUUUUUAAUUUUAAAAUGCUAAAUGUUUUGCUCUUCUUAUGAUUUCUUCCAAUGAUAUCAAACUUAAAAGUCCUCUGCAUUCCAAGGAUCCAGUAAAUGUUUUUAUAUUUUCUUCUCGUUUAAAACAUGACGUUAUACACAUUUCACUCAUAUUAUCCUUCUAAUUCUAAGAACCUGCUAGAGUUGAUAUUGACCAACAGCAUUCAUAACUAGUUGGUGGCAAAGCAAAGCCUGAGAUCCACCCCUGGCUGAUUCCAG
ensembl:lncRNA